rnacentral:lncRNA from 1 species
UUAAAAAAGCAUUCUAAAAUUGUUGAAUAAUUUAUCAAUUGACAAAAUUUAACAACUUAGUCAAUAGAUAGCAUUAUUUGCCAAAAUAAUAAAUAUGAUGAUUAAGAUAAUAAAUUAUACAUGGAAUAAUUUUCCAAUCAAAAAAAUCCUAGCUGCAGUCAGUAUAAUGAAGAUUGGCAACUGGAUCAAUUUGUGGCAUAGAUAAGUCAUAAUAUUGCAGCAAUAAUCUCAAAAUGUCUGGAGUAAAAUCAUAUUGUUUAGUUCAAUAAACAAAUUAAAAAAUUCAUGAAUCUUUUGAUUAUGAAUACCAUAUUAAAGAAACCUGACUGGCUGAAAUAGCAAUUAACAUGAAAAUAGUCAAAAGUAGCUUUUCCCUAAAAUAACUGAUUUUGAAACUAUUCUUGGCAAUGUAGGGGAUGCACUCCAAUCAUUUCCUAAAUCAAAUUAAUAAAAUUUAAUUUGCAAGAGAAAUGAAAUAUAGAUGGUGCUGCAAAUCAAAACAAUAUGGCCAACAGAACCUGGGUACUUAUUUGUUAUGUUUGAUUCAUUGGUUUGAUUUUAUUGGAAAAUUUUUUGCUGUGUUUUUAAAAAUGCCACUUAUCAGUUUGCAUGAUAUUUUGCUAUAUGUUGAAGGGUCAAGGCUAUUAAUUGAAGGUGAAGCAGUUCUAAAUGCAGGACAUAUUAUGUAUGGUAUUAAUUUUGAAAAUGAUUCAGAAAUUGUUGCGUUAUGUCAACAUACAUCGUACUUGAAAGGGCCACCA